CUCAGACAAUUCACUUCUGUUAGUGAGAAGAGCUCAAAGCAGGAUUUAAUUUUCCAACUUAUGUUCAUUUUGUAAAACAUUUCAAGGGUAUGAACAUCACUGGCUUAAUAAGAGUGUGUUAGAGAGAGCAAAAACACCCUGCCUUGGAACGCAACUGGACACCGGAUGGGGAAAGACCCCAGAUGUAGGAACAAGACCAUUCAAAUCUGCAAAAAACAUUCCUCAGGAUGGAGCAUAAAAUCUUAAAAAAACAAUCCCCAGGAUGACUGCUGCUUGCAGUUCCACUGUGGCCCACAGGACCAGCAGGCCCCAUUUUAC